UCCCUCAGCACUGUCUGGCAGAUCUCCUCAAGAAGAUGUCUAAAGGGCCAACCAGGGUGAUAAACCCAGGAUGACUUGACCGGUGACAGAUUUGGCGCCUGGAAUAGGAUCCUCUGGGCAGAACGAACCCAACGCGCUGCUCCUACACCUAGAAAAGGAAGGGUGGAGAACCCCUCUUUGGGAAGUGGGUUGGGUAACUGUCCACUUGGCAGAAAUAAAUGAAUUAUGGGAA